rnacentral:rRNA from 1 species
AGCGGCGGAUGGGUGAGUAACACGUGGGGAACCUGCCCCUAAGUCUGGGAUACCAUUUGGAAACAGGUGCUAAUACCGGAUAAUAAAGCAGAUCGCAUGAUCAGCUUUUGAAAGGCGGCGUAAGCUGUCGCUAAGGGAUGGCCCCGCGGUGCAUUAGCUAGUUGGUAAGGUAACGGCUUACCAAGGCGACGAUGCAUAGCCGAGUUGAGAGACUGAUCGGCCACAUUGGGACUGAGACACGGCCCAAACUCCUACGGGAGGCAGCAGUAGGGAAUCUUCCACAAUGGACGCAAGUCUGAUGGAGCAACGCCGCGUGAGUGAAGAAGGUCUUCGGAUCGUAAAGCUCUGUUGUUGGUGAAGAAGGAUAGAGGUAGUAACUGGCCUUUAUUUGACGGUAAUCAACCAGAAAGUCACGGCUAACUACGUGCCAGCAGCCGCGGUAAUACGUAGGUGGCAAGCGUUGUCCGGAUUUAUUGGGCGUAAAGCGAGCGCAGGCGGAAAAAUAAGUCUAAUGUGAAAGCCCUCGGCUUAACCGAGGAACUGCAUCGGAAACUGUUUUUCUUGAGUGCAGAAGAGGAGAGUGGAACUCCAUGUGUAGCGGUGGAAUGCGUAGAUAUAUGGAAGAACACCAGUGGCGAAAGGCGGCUCUCUGGUCUGCAACAGACGCUGAGGCUCGAAAGCAUGGGUAGCGAACAGGAUUAGAUACCCUGGUAGUCCAUGCCGUAACGAUGAGUGCUAAGUGU